rnacentral:rRNA from 1 species
AUGCAACUUCCAAUCGCAAAGGGGGGCUGUGUUUACACAUCAUACCAUGGGUUUCAUGAAUCACCAUUUCUAGAGAUUCGUCGACACAGCUUGUUGCCAGUACCAUAUAACUGGAAUUACCGAUGCAAGUCGAAGAAGGAUUGGCCGGUGUUGCCGGCUGGCGUCAAGUUCGAUCCCACGGAUCAGGAGCUGAUCGAGCACCUUGAGGCCAAAGUGAGUGUUGACAACGCGAGAUUUCGGUCUCUCAUUGAUUUGUUCAUACCAACCAUCGAUAGCGAGCACCGCAUAUGCUACACCCAACCUGAGAAACUUCCAGCAAAAAAGGUUCUGGUGCUGCACACCAACAAGAACUUCGACCAGCAGAGGACCAACUGGGUGAUGCACCAGUACCACAUCGGGGACCUGGAGCAAGAGAAGGAGCGGGAGCUGGUCCUCUGCAAGAUUUUCUACCAGACGAACACUAGGGCCAGGAGUAGUUUGGUAUUGGUAGUUGUACUACCUUGUCGUCCGCAAGUUGGUAUGGUUGUUAACGAUCUUUUGGCCCAGCCCAUGACGACAACGGGGCACAAAGAUCCAGCAGGUAUCUACUAG